rnacentral:tRNA from 1 species
AGUGUUGUGGCUAAUUGGUAAAGCACUUAGCUUUAAAACUUAGGGGUCUCAGGUUUUAAUCCUGCUGGUAGUU